CGAAAUMKGUAGACGCUACGGACUUAAAAUCCGUCGACUUUUUAAAUCGUGAGGGUUCAAGUCCCUCUAUCCCCA
rnacentral:tRNA from 1 species